CCUACGGGGGGCAGCAGUGGGGAAUAUUGGGCAAUGGGCGCAAGCCUGACCCAGCAACGCCGCGUGAAGGAAGAAGGCUUUCGGGUUGUAAACUUCUUUUGUCAGGGACGAAGCAAUGGACGGUACCUGACGAAUAAGCCACGGCUAACUACGUGCCAGUAGCCGGGGUAAUACGUAGGUGGCAAGCGUUAUCCGGAUUUACUGGGUGUAAAGGGCGGGUAGGCGGGACUGCAAGGCAGAUGUGAAAACCACGGGCUCAAACUGUGGCCUGCAGUUGAAACUGUAGUUCUUGAGUACUGGAGAGGCAGAUGGAAUUCCUGGUGUAGCGGUGAAAUGCGUAGAUAUUAGGAGGAACACCAGUGGCGAAGGCGGUCUGCUGGACAGCAACUGACGCUGAGGCGCGAAAGCGUGGGGAGCAAACAGGAUUAGAUACCCGAGUAGUC
rnacentral:rRNA from 1 species